AAAUGGAAAAUGUAAUCACCCUUAUCUGCAAAGUUUUGGCAAAGUGAGGAGAAAAGGAAAGCUAAAAUUCAGGCUAACUUCAGUUUUGCUUUGCUUGGAUUUAUUACAUGUACCAUUAUGUUUAACUACGUUAUCGUUGGUUACUGCUCAAGCCAGCAUAUUUUGUCAUUUUACAAAGGAGUAAAUUGCAAAAAACAUAAGCCAAUCAUGCAAUGAGCUAAAGAAAAAAAUGUCAUUCCAGACAAAUAAACAAUUAUAACAAACUAAGACACAAUGGAAAUCAAAGUAUGGCAUGCUGGUAAUGCAACUAUCUUUCAAAAGUCAUUGCUCUAAUAUUUCUGCAGUCCAUAAUGGUCUUUUACAGUAGUUGAAAUAGCCUGUCAAAGCAUGUGUUUUCUUCAUUACUAAAAAAAACUAUAUCAAUUGAUUAAUUAGUUAGAAUAUAAAAGCACAAAAAUGAGAAAUUCUGAAUUAAAGCUUCAAGAAACACUAAGCCCGUCACAUUAUUUUAUUUUAAUAUUUCAUUCUAUAUGUGUUUUAGAAUGAUAUGGUGCAAACCCUGGCUGGGAUGAUUUAGUUGAGAUUAGUCCUGCUUUGAGCUGGGGGGUUGGACUAGAUGACCUGAGAUCUCUUCCAACCCUAGUCUAUGAUUCUAAGGUACCUGAUCCAAAGAACUUCAAUUCUUAUGUGUCAUAUCUUGCAGAAAUUUACUACGGGGAACAGUGUUUAUUACUGUGAGUAGGCCUAAUUGGACUCGCAGUCUUCAGCGCUUUCUGGAUUGAGCUUUAAGGGCAUGUUCCACUUCCAAAAGUUGCCACCCAUUUUUGGACCUGCAUCACUGAAAGGGGCAGCAAGACUGGUGGAUUGGAAAGAGCAAGCCACACCAUCCUGGCAGCCCUGGCUGCCCCUACUGUCUCCUGGGUCUCUGGGAUUAGAGCUGGUAGAUAAAAUGUUGUCGUCUUAAUAUGGAUUCCAAAAUAUGCCACAUUUUUUACUACAAAAUUAUGACACAAUCUUGUUAUGAUGAAAGAACUGCCAGGCCUCCCUAGGACAAAUCUUUGGAACUGGCUACCUCCCCCACAUCCUGGAGAAGAGCAGCCAAUCAGGGAAGCAUGGAUAGAGAAUUCAGCAAUGGACCCAAGGACAAUGGAACAGUGUGCUGUGUUCCUGAAGUGAACAUAUGAUAUGUGCCCAUAUGAGGUGUGGAUGGGAUUAUGAAGGCAUCUGGUAUGUCUUCACUAGUGAUGAUUUACAUUGGAGCCAGUGAUUCAGUAUCCUGUGGAAAUACACAGAUUAAAGAAGACUUAAGGGAUCUUGGAAGGAAGAUGAAAAAGGGGUCGAGCAGUUGUGGGAUCUCCAGUUAUGGAACUGGCAUCCUGCUUUGGCAGCCUUCCAAAGCCUAUGGUUAUCAAGCUUCAGGACACAGUCCAAGUUUGGAAGGACAACUGGUUGCUGCCUUGACUCCAUACAGGUCUAGUGUGUGCUCAGCUGAUGGUUCUGCAGCAUUAGUAGAGCCUAAAGGCGCUCAGAUACUACAAUGAUGAGCACCAUGGGAUUGCCUAUAGAUAAAAUAAAUAGGACUACCAGGGCUAUCUCUUGGACGUGAACAGUAUGGCUGGUAGACAGCAGCUCUCAGCUCCUCCAUCCUUCUGUCUUCUUCAGUGUUCUGUUGGUUAGACCCUACUUCCAUUCUCUAUGUUCUCUCCCGCUCCUCCUUUUUCUGUUUGCUCCUCCUUUCUCCCUUCCAACACAUUUUCCUUCUGUUCCACAAUCUGCUCCCCCGCUUUCCAAGCACGUCUCCCUCUUGCUCUCCUACUCCUAAGCGUGCCCCUCUGUACACUUAUAUCUCCCUUCCCUAUGUCCGCAGACUUCCAGGUGUGGAGAGUGGCAAAUGUUUGGAUUUCACACAGAAAAAUAAGCAUUUGGUGAUGUCAUUGUCACCCUGGCCCAGACUCUCACAACAAAACUUGUAUUAAGGAAAUGCCUGGUUAAAGAGUAUGGUUUGGCUUUGUAUCGCUGGUUCUAACAUAUUAUGUUGUGGUUUAAGAGAUGCUUAACAAGUCUGUAUAUUCAAUCUGGACCCGUUAGCUGUGCAGCCAAAGACAGCUUUACUUUUCCAAUCCUCCAUUUUGCCCCUUCAUUAGUUGCAGGGUGCUUGCUUUAAGAGAUUGCUUACUGAGGACUCCAGCUAUCAAUUCCCUUACAGUAUUUGGAUUUUUUAAAAAGUGUUGCUAGAUAAGUCUUUUGCAAAAUCUUUGAUGAUUUUUCUUUGUGAUUUUUUCCCCUGCGCAGUAAUAGAGCUGGUCAGAAAAUAAUAUCAUGAUAAAUUCUUCCCUCACUGACACACUUUCCCACUGCCAGUUCUAUUAUCAAACAUAAUGUACAGAAAUUAGGCACUCAGUCCAUCUCCUAGUCAGUGCAGGUUUGUCCCGCUGGCAUGGUUUCUAGGGUUUUAACUAGACAAAACGGUCCCCAUAAUUUCCUCUUAGAAAACAAUGUCACAGCUUACUCAGGAAGCUUUUCCUAACAUUCAGACUAUUUUUCCUUAAUUAACUUGCUAUUCGGCAACUAUAGCCAAUGGGGCACUGC